GGAUUCUGCUGGCAAGAUAGAAUCUCUGUAAAUUACGUAUCUUUUUACCAAAGAACAGAGUCCUCACCAAUUCAACCGGUCAAAAGAAAGCGCAUGCUAAGCAAUAACAAAUAAAGAAAUUGUUAUAUUGGCAACUAUCAUUGUUCUGAAGAAGGUUUCAGCCCGAAAUGUUGCCUAUUUCCUUAAUUUUGAAGCAUGCAUGUAGUUCAGACCAGUAUUUGAUCUUUUGGAUCAUGCCAUCAUUUAUUAGUAAUAGUAUUGUGACAAUGUAAGGCGCUGGAAUAGGCAUUUGAACCUUCUUCAAUAAGUGGCAGAAGCUGGUUGAUGCAUCCCUGUGGCCGAACUCUGGUUUGGAGCUACGGAGCCCUCAAGAGUGGACCUGGCAACGAUUGACUUUGGCCUGGUGGUUUGCAAGGAGGUUGGGUCAGCAGUCGGCAAGAAGGUUGAGCCGGCAGUCGAAGUGGAGUAAGGGGUUGGAGGUGUGUGCCGGAGGUCGGACGCUUCGCCGAGAACAAAGGAGUAUCUGGCGUAGGGGGACUGCCAAGAGGGAAAACCAAAGAAGACGUGCCGUGGAGAACGAAGGAGGACCCCGCGUGGGAGAACCGCCGAGAACUAAGGGGGACUGUCGACAUCUGGUAUCUCCAGACCUCAGCCAACUGCUGCCUCAACCAAGGGCGGAACGGUGGUGCAGCGUAGAGUUGCUGCCUUACAGCACCAGAGACCCGGGUUUGAUCCUGACUACGGGUGCUCUCAAUGGAAUUUGUUCGUUCUCCCCGUGACCUGUGUCGGUUUUCUCAGAUCUUUAGCUAAGUCCCACACUCAAGGUGUACAGGUUUGUAGGUUAAUUGGGUAGGAUAACAAUGAUAAAUUGCUCCUACUGUGCGUGAUAGUGAUAGUGUUAAUGUGCGGGUAUCGCUGUACGGUAUAGACUCGGUGAGCCGAAGGGCCUGUUUUUGCACUGUAUCUCUAAACUAAACUAAUUCACUGAUUUUCUUGUGCCCUUGCCUCUGUCUCUGUCUCCGAUUUCACCAACGGAUACGGAGGACCUCCACUCCCAGUAACCUUCCUCCUCAACCAUCCUUCUAUGCUGUCUUGGGCAAGCACAAGCCACCUGUCGUCUAUAUUGAUGGAACCACGCUCUAAGAUCUUGGCUAUCAUGGACUUUCUGUGGACCAACGAGCAUAACCUGGUCAAUCUGCACACUGCCAGUUGCCGUCUUGCCCGAGGAGAUCCAGAGCAUCUGCAGUUCCCUCGCUCAUUCCAACAAAGCCUCUGCUGGGUUCGAUCCAGAGUAUGAGGCACUGCCCUAACCAUUAGAGAUGGAUGCCAUGUUGAAAUCAACCAAGUUUUCAGAAAUAAAUGGAUGGAUCCUGCUUAUUGCUCCCUCCAGCAAGAUGGUGGUGGUAUGCUUCAUCUGCCAGAUCACCACAACAGCAGUCUGCAGUACCAUCGGGCAGCUCAAUAUGAUGAUGGUAGCCGGAAUCACCAGUACAAUGAUCCAGACUUCCAAUUUGUACAUUGACAUAAUUGAAACCGUCUUAUUGGGUUAAAGCACAGAAUGGAUUUAGAUGAAGGAAAUAAUAUGAGCCACUGAAUUCCAUCAUCACCAAAAAAGCAUACCAUUGUUUCUACUUCCUCAGAAGACAAGGAUAUUUGACAUUAAUUUAAAGACUCUUACCAACUUCUGCAGCUGAACUGUAAAAAACGUACUGCCGGGUUGUAUCACAGCUUGGUUUGGGAACAGCUUUGUCCAAGACCACAAGAAAUUGCAGAGUUGUGGAUCACUCCAGCACACAGACCAGACUUCCCACCAUUGACUACAUCUACACUUCACUCCCUUGGGAAAAUACCCAACAUAAUCAAAGACCUUUUCCACAUUUGUCAUUUCCCCUUUUCCCUGUUUCCACCACAAAGUGGAUAUAAAAGCUUGAAAGACUCAGGAACAGCUUCUUCCCGUUAUUUGAAUUCUGAAUGGUUCUUCCAGAAGCUAGGAUACAUUACCUAAUUUCCAACCAACAUCAUUGAGACUAUUGGACUUUUUCUCAGAAAUGAUUAUGCUACAAUGUUGAGAAAUUGUAUGCUGCACUAUGCAUGUUUCUCCUCUCUCUACCUAUUGUGCUUGUGUAUGGCUUGAUUGUAUUUAUGUACAGUAUUACCUGAUUUAAUUGCAUAGCAUGCAAACAAAAUAUUUUCACUGUAUCUCAGUGCACACAACAAUAAAGCAAUUUAAACUUGUUUUGUGUGCCACAGUAGAUUACUUCACAUUGCCAUAUUAUAUUCCUUCUGUUAUGUUCUGGCACACGCACUCAGCUUGUUUCUAUCCCUUUAAAACCUCUUUACAUCCUUCUCACUGCUCAAACAUUUCCCAAGUUUUGUAUCAUCAGUGAAAUUGGAAAUGUGAUAUUUGGCUUCCUCAUCCAACUAGUUGAAGAAGACUGAAUAAUCAGGGUUCCUGUGUUACUCACCUAUCUAUUCCCAAUCCUUGGUUUCUGCCUGUCAGCCAAUUCUCAAUAGCCAGCAGUAUACUACACUAAUCACAUACAUUCUGAAGUUCUAAAUGUACCACUGCCUUUGUCCAUUUAGCCAACCAUGUCCUCAAAUAUCUUCAAAAAAAUUAACCAUGCACUUUUCUGGAUUAAACUCCAUUAACUAUUGCUCAGACCAUUUGCCCAACUGAUUUAGAUCCUCCUCUAAUUUUUGAUAACAAUCUUCACUGUCUAUGACAUAUUAGAGUCAUCUGUAAACUCUCAGUCCCAAAAGGCCACUCCAUUACAACUUGCCUUCAUUUAUUGCCUGCUUAAUUAAUCCAUUUUGAUCACUUUAGCAAGUCGACUGCUGCCUUGAAAUUCCUUGGGAAAGCAGUCAACAUUUGUACAGUUUCAUUCCAUAACUUGUAAUCCAAUUCAAUUUGCGAUUCAUUGUCUAGUUCAUCAGGCACCACCUCCACCUCCCAAAAUAUUUGAGGAGAUUGGGCCAUUGUUUUGUGAUAAAUGGGGAAUAUUUAGAAAUGCUAUCAACAUCUUUGAAACUGCACAUUAUUAGUCUGAGGUUAUGACUGUCGUAAGGAAUAGGAGUAGAAUGAGGCUGUUCAGCCCAUCAAGUAUACUCCGACAUUCAAUCAUGGCUGAUCUAUCUCCCUCCUAACCCCAUUUUGCCUUCUCCCCAUAACCUCUGACACCUAUACUAAUCAAGAAUCUAUCUUAUCUGCCUUAAAAAUAUCCACUCACAGCCUCCAUAGCCUUCUGGGGCAAAGAA